GCCCAAGUGGUGGAAUUGGUAGACACGCUAUCUUGAGGGGGUAGUGGCCGUCAGGCCGUGCCGGUUCAAGUCCGGCCUUGGGCACCA
rnacentral:tRNA from 3 species